rnacentral:rRNA from 1 species
GACGAACGCUGGCGGCGUGCUUAACACAUGCAAGUCGAACGGAAAGGCCUCUUUCGGGGGGUACUCGAGUGGCGAACGGGUGAGUAACACGUGAGUAACCUGCCCUUGACUGUGGGAUAACUUCAGGAAACUGGGGCUAAUACCGGAUAGGAGCUCCUGCUGCAUGGUGGGGGUUGGAAAGUUUCGGCGGUUGGGGAUGGACUCGCGGCUUAUCAGCUUGUUGGUGGGGUAGUGGCUUACCAAGGCUUUGACGGGUAGCCGGUCUGAGAGGGUGACCGGCCACAUUGGGACUUAGAUACGGCCCAGACUCCUACGGGAGGCAGCAGUGGGGAAUAUUGCACAAUGGGUGGAAGCCUGAUGCAGCAACGCCGUGUGCGGGAUGACGGCCUUCGGGUUGUAAACCGCUUUCGCUCAUGACGAAGCUUUGUGUGACGGUAGUGGGUAAAGAAGCACCGGCUAACUACGUG